rnacentral:snRNA from 1 species
AUCCAUUCUGGCCUUUGGCUUAGAUCAAGUGUAGUAUCUGUUCUCAAAUUGAAGAGUCUAUCCAAGUCAAAACUACC